CCUACGGGAGGCUGCAGUGGGGAAUAUUGGACAAUGGGGGGAACCCUGAUCCAGCCAUGCCGCGUGUGUGAAGAAGGCCCUCGGGUUGUAAAGCACUUUCAGUGAGGAAGAACGCCUGGUGGUUAAUACCCAUCAGGAAAGACAUCACUCACAGAAGAAGCACCGGCUAACUCCGUGCCAGCAGCCGCGGUAAUACGGAGGGUGCGAGCGUUAAUCGGAAUUACUGGGCGUAAAGCGCGCGUAGGUGGCUUGAUCAGCCGGUUGUGAAAGCCCCGGGCUCAACCUGGGAACGGCAUCCGGAACUGGCAAGCUAGAGUGCAGGAGAGGAAGGUAGAAUUCCCGGUGUAGCGGUGAAAUGCGUAGAGAUCGGGAGGAAUACCAGUGGCGAAGGCGGCCUUCUGGACUGACACUGACGCUGAGGUGCGAAAGCGUGGGUAGCAAACAGGAUUAGAUACCCGGGUAGUC
rnacentral:rRNA from 1 species